rnacentral:rRNA from 1 species
GUGGGGAAUUUUGGACAAUGGGCGCAAGCCUGAACCAGCCAUGCCGCGUGCAGGAAGACGGUCCUAUGGAUUGUAAACUGCUUUUAUUUGGGAAUAAACCUCCUUACGUGUAGGGAGCUGAAGGUACCAAAUGAAUAAGCACCGGCUAACUCCGUGCCAGCAGCCGCGGUAAUACGGAGGGUGCAAGCGUUAUCCGGAAUCAUUGGGUUUAAAGGGUCCGCAGGCGGUCAUAUAAGUCAGUGGUGAAAGCCUACAGCUCAACUGUAGAACUGCCAUUGAUACUGUAUGACUUGAAUUCGAUCGAAGUGGGCGGAAUGUGACAUGUAGCGGUGAAAUGCUUAGAUAUGUCACAGAACACCGAUAGCGAAGGCAGCUCACUAGGUCUGGAUUGACGCUCAGGGACGAAAGCGUGGGGAACAAACAGGAUUAGAUACCCCGGUAGUCC